rnacentral:tRNA from 1 species
GGAGGGGUGGCCGAGAGGUCGAAGGCAGCGGUCUUGAAAACCGCCAACGGGGUGACUCGUUCGUGGGUUCGAAUCCCACCCCCUCCGCCA